AUACGUAGGUGGCGAGCGUUGUCCGGAAUGAUUGGGCGUAAAGGGCGCGUAGGCGGCCCGGUAAGUCUGGAGUGAAGGUCCUGUUUUUAAGAUGGGAAUUGCUUUGGAUACUGUCGGGCUUGAGUGCAGGAGAGGUAAGUGGAAUUCCCAGUGUAGCGGUGAAAUGCGUAGAGAUUGGGAGGAACACCAGUGGCGAAGGCGACUUACUGGACUGUAACUGACGCUGAGGCGCGAAAGUGUGGGGAGCAAACAGGAUUAGAUACCCUGGUAGUCUACACUGUAAACGAUGAAUGCUAGGUGUAGGGGGUAUCGACCCCUUCUGUGCCGCAGUCAACACAAUAAGCAUUCCGCCUGGGGAGUACGGCCGCAAGGUUGAAACUCAAAUGAAUUGGCGGGG
rnacentral:rRNA from 1 species